rnacentral:rRNA from 1 species
CCUACGGGAGGCAGCAGUGAGGAAUAUUGGUCAAUGGACUAGAGUCUGAACCAGCCAAGUAGCGUGAAGGAUGACUGCCCUAUGGGUUGUAAACUUCUUUUAUAUGGGAAUAAAAUGUUACACGUGUGGGCUUUUGUAUGUACCAUAUGAAUAAGGAUCGGCUAACUCCGUGCCAGCAGCCGCGGUAAUACGGAGGAUCCGAGCGUUAUCCGGAUUUAUUGGGUUUAAAGGGAGCGUAGGUGGAUUGUUAAGUCAGUUGUGAAAGUUUGCGGCUCAACCGUAAAAUUGCAGUUGAGACUGGCAGUCUUGAGUACAGUAGAGGUGGGCGGAAUGCGUGGUGUAGCGGUGAAAUGCUUAGAUAUCACGAAGAACUCCGAUUGCGAAGGUAGCUCACUGGACUGCAACUGACACUGAGGCUCGAAAGUGUGGGUAUCAAACAGGAUUAGAUACCCCAGUAGUC